rnacentral:rRNA from 1 species
AACGAACGCUGGCGGCAGGCUUAACACAUGCAAGUCGAACGCAUCCUUCGGGGUGAGUGGCAGACGGGUGAGUAACGCGUGGGAACGUGCCCUUCAGUUCGGGAUAACCCAGGGAAACUUGGGCUAAUACCGGAUACGUGCGAGAGCAGAAAGAUUUAUCGCUGAAGGAUCGGCCCGCGUCUGAUUAGCUAGUUGGUGAGGUAAUGGCUCACCAAGGCGACGAUCAGUAGCUGGUCUGAGAGGAUGAUCAGCCACAUUGGGACUGAGACACGGCCCAAACUCCUACGGGAGGCAGCAGUGGGGAAUAUUGGACAAUGGGCGCAAGCCUGAUCCAGCCAUGCCGCGUGAGUGAUGAAGGCCUUAGGGUUGUAAAGCUCUUUCGUCCGGGACGAUAAUGGCGGUACCGGAAGAAGAAGCCCCGGCUAACUUCGUGCCAGCAGCCGCCGUAA